rnacentral:rRNA from 1 species
GACAGAGGGGGCAAGCGUUGCUCGGAAUUACUGGGCGUAAAGGGCGCGUAGGCGGGAUGGCAAGUCGGUCGUGAAAUCCCUCGGCUCAACCGAGGAACGUCGAUCGAUACUGCUGUUCUUGAGGAUUGCAGAGGAGACUGGAAUUCCCGGUGUAGCGGUGAAAUGUGUAGAGAUCGGGAGGGACACCGGUGGCGAAGGCGGGUCUCUGGGCAAUUCCUGACGCUGAGGCGCGAAAGCGUGGGGAGCAAACGGG